UACGUAGGUGGCAAGCGUUGUCCGGAUUUACUGGGCGUAAAGAGCGCGCAGGCGGUCGAAUAAGUCGAAUGUGAAAGCCCCCGGCUCAACUGGGGAGGGUCAUUCGAUACUGUUCGACUUGAAGGUAGGAGAGAGAAGCAGAAUUCCCGGUGUAGUGGUGAAAUGCGUAGAUAUCGGGAGGAAUACCAGUGGCGAAGGCGGCUUCUUGGCCUAUUCUUGACGCUGAGGCGCGGAAAGCUGGGGGAGCAAACGGG
rnacentral:rRNA from 1 species